rnacentral:rRNA from 1 species
CUAUCUACAGGCUUAACACAUGCAAGUCGAGGGGCAUCAGGAAGAAAGCUUGCUUUCUUUGCUGGCGACCGGCGCACGGGUGAGUAACACGUAUCCAACCUGCCCUUUACUCGGGGAUAGCCUUUCGAAAGAAAGAUUAAUACCCGAUAGCAUAAUGAUUCCGCAUGGUUUCAUUAUUAAAGGAUUCCGGUAAAGGAUGGGGAUGCGUUCCAUUAGGUUGUUGGUGAGGUAACGGCCCACCAAGCCUUCGAUGGAUAGGGGUUCUGAGAGGAAGGUCCCCCACAUUGGAACUGAGACACGGUCCAAACUCCUACGGGAGGCAGCAGUGAGGAAUAUUGGUCAAUGGGCGCUAGCCUGAACCAGCCAAGUAGCGUGAAGGAUGAAGGCUCUAUGGGUCGUAAACUUCUUUUAUAUAAGAAUAAAGUGCAGUAUGUAUACUGUUUUGUAUGUAUUAUAUGAAUAAGGAUCGGCUAACUCCGUGCCAGCAGCCGCGGUAAUACGGAGGAUCCGAGCGUUAUCCGGAUUUAUUGGGUUUAAAGGGAGCGUAGGUGGACUGGUAAGUCAGUUGUGAAAGUUUGCGGCUCAACCGUAAAAUUGCAGUUGAUACUGUCAGUCUUGAGUACAGUAGAGGUGGGCGGAAUUCGUGGUGUAGCGGUGAAAUGCUUAGAUAUCACGAAGAACUCCGAUUGCGAAGGCAGCUCACUGGACUGCAACUGACACUGAUGCUCGAAAGUGUGGGUAUCAAACAGGAUUAGAUACCCUGGUAGUCCACACAGUAAACGAUGAAUACUCGCUGUUUGCGAUAUACAGUAAGCGGCCAAGCGAAAGCAUUAAGUAUUCCACCUGGGGAGUACGCCGGCAACGGUGAAACUCAAAGGAAUUGACGGGGGCCCGCACAAGCGGAGGAACAUGUGGUUUAAUUCGAUGAUACGCGAGGAACCUUACCCGGGCUUAAAUUGCAGUGGAAUGAUGUGGAAACAUGUCAGUGAGCAAUCACCGCUGUGAAGGUGCUGCAUGGUUGUCGUCAGCUCGUGCCGUGAGGUGUCGGCUUAAGUGCCAUAACGAGCGCAACCCUUAUCUUUAGUUACUAACAGGUUAUGCUGAGGACUCUAGAGAGACUGCCGUCGUAAGAUGUGAGGAAGGUGGGGAUGACGUCAAAUCAGCACGGCCCUUACGUCCGGGGCUACACACGUGUUACAAUGGGGGGUACAGAAGGCAGCUAGCGGGUGACCGUAUGCUAAUCCCAAAAUCCUCUCUCAGUUCGGAUCGAAGUCUGCAACCCGACUUCGUGAAGCUGGAUUCGCUAGUAAUCGCGCAUCAGCCACGGCGCGGUGAAUACGUUCCCGGGCCUUGUACACACCGCCCGUCAAGCCAUGGGAGCCGGGGGUACCUGAAGUACGUAACCGCAAGGAUCGUCCUAGGGUAAAACUGGUGAC